GUGUUUGCUAGUGGACUGAGCUGCUGCUGCCUGUGAACCUGUGAACUGAACUGCCGAUUUCCAGACAACACCGAUGGGAGUUGCUCCAAAGAACCUUUCUAAGCAGAGACUGGAAGACCCAUCUCAGAUGUGAAGAGCAGUGCUCCAUGAGCCAGAGUCACAGACAGAAUAGAAAGGAGACCGAAGGUAGAGAACCAGCAUUCAUCUUUCUCUACUUCCCGACUGUUAGAUUGGUAUUGAUCACCUUUGAUGUGGAAAUAAAAGAAAGAAUAAAAAUG